rnacentral:lncRNA from 1 species
AGCUAUUUUUGCCGAUUCGAGACGAUUUUGGAAGCGAAGCCGAGAAUCAAACCAAACACGUGCAAAAGUGCAUUCUCGCGGAUUGUGGCAGUGUUUGGUAUUUCAAGCAUAACUUUUGCAUACGACCUCCGAUUGGGCUGAUUCAAGUAGAUUUAGAAAGCUAACUUCAAGGGCUACAACUUUUGUGAAAUGCACAAUUGUCGAAUUCGGGCUGAAAAUGGGUCAAAACAGUGUUUGAAGUUGAUGCAGAGGCCAGAUCGCGAUCCAGCAUCACCGGAUCGCGAUCUGGUGGCAAAUUCCAGUAGCAGCGAAAAGUUGGGGCAGAUCGCGAUCCGCACUUCCUGGAUCGCGAUCUGGGAAGGCGGUGGGCAGUUUUCGAGGUUGCCAGAUCGCGAUCCAAGAAUCCCAGAUCGCGAUCUGGGCACAGAAAUCGAGACUAGAUAUUUUUCUUUGAUAUCUCACUAUAAAUAGAAGGUCUCCUUUUCAUUUUUCAAUCGCUCGACAUAUAUCUCGACCUAUUCUUCGGUUUUUCUUCGGUUCUCGCCAGUUCUUCGCGGGAAGCUUCGACGAGGGUUUCGACUCGGAUUUUUCAUAAGCUUUUCUUUACGUUUAGUUUAUAACUUCUCGUGUUCUUCAUUUUAAUGCUAUGUUUGUAAUGAACUGAGCAUUUUCUUCUAGGGAAAUGAAACCUUGUAUAUAUUGAUUUUGAUUUCCAGAUCUGUGAUCUAUUUGUCGUUCUUUGAUUAUGUUUAUGUUUUCCUGUAUUAAAUGCUUUCGAUUGUUUGGCCAACAGUUGAAUUGAUUCUAAAUGGGAAUGAACUCGAGAGAGGAUUUCUCGUUUGAUUUUAGGAAAACAUAGCUCGGGUUGUGGAAACGGAGACGUGAUGCACCUCGGGUAGCCCUUAAGGACUUGAUCUAAAUGCUCUCUUAAUAUCAGGUUCUGAACGGAGACGUCGGACCUGUGGGUAGACUCUAACUACACUGGAGACGGGGGUUAGGGUACUUUAGUGUCUGGGUUAGCGAACAUAGAAUUGACAAUAGAUUCGGGUUUGUAGAUCUUUAUCGAUAGUACACUGGUGGAUUUUACCCUAGAAGCCAUCACACGUCGGAAUUCCUCGCUUAUACUGGCGAACCGUUGUUUUUAUUAUUUUUGUUUCCUUUUGGCUUCAUGUCAUCUCCCAUCUUUUUCUCCCGUCUAGAUAAAGUUUAGGAUAGUAUAAUUACGGUACUUGGUAGAUUUAGGAACUUAAUUCCCUGUGGAUCGAUAUCUGGAAUUCACUAUUCUACAAAACGCGAUACUGUACACUUGCGGUUUUUCAUACGUAGGUUUUACGCGUAUCUAGUUUUUGGCGCCGUUGCCGGGGAAUUAGUUAAUCUUGAAUUUACUAAUAUCGUUACCAACUAUCGUUACUUUACUUUAGACAAUUUUUUUUCUUUUGAUUUUUAUUUUUAUUUUUAUAGCAGAUUUGUAUACAUCGAUGGCCUCGAUUUAUGAUCUCUCUCUUUGCAAGAUUCAAUCCAGAGCUGAUUACAUUCAACAUGAGUUGGAGGAUAUUGAAAGACAUCGAAGGUUGAACCCAGAAAAUGGAAUUGCACAAACAAAUGAGCACUUCUGCUAUCUACAAGAAGAACUCCACUUUUUGGCAAAUAUUUUCGAAAAUUUCAAGAGAUGUCACAUUCACAAACCACAUCCGACCAUCCUUUAUGAAGACAACGAGGUAUUUACAGAUUUUCGUAUAAACGAUGAGGUUGAGCACCUUGAGGGAAUUAUUCAUCCCAGUUCUGUAGAUACUUUAGCGUGUGAUGAGAGUGGGAUGAAGAUGAUGGUAGAGGAACUUGACGAACAAAAUCCUACCCACAUUGCUACUCCGGAUUUGAGUGUGAGCGAGGAGACGAGUUACAAAUUUGAGGUAGAGCUUUCUCCAAAGCUCGAGUAUCUUGUAUACGAGUUUGAGAGAUCGGUAGGCAAGCAACCCAUCCUAGUCUCCUACCGACUGAUUUCCAUAGCAAACGAAAAGUACCAUGGGUUGGGAUGGUCAUUACAAGAUUGCAAUCUAGUCCACGGUAUGAUUGCAAAGUAUGUAUCAAGACUGACGGAUGGAUGCGCAAUCUACAAGGCUUUGGAUUGGACAUAAUCCGUCCAAAUUGUGUCGAGCCGUCGACUGUAAAACAGGCGCUGAAUGGGAGGCAACCCAUUAUUUAUUUUUCGUCAUUUAUUUUGUUAGUUUUCUUGCAUUUUUUUUAUUUAAAGCUAGAUUUCACCCAUUUUUCUUGAUUUUUGCAGGUAUCUCGUCCCCAAGGAAAGAAGAGUAAGAAGUCGGGAAGUCUAGGCAAUUCCGGCAAUUCGCCCUUGGUGCCAAAAUUGACGGCACCCCGUGCAACCAAAGAACACUUUCGCAACCGUAGAACACUGAUCAAUCUGCGGCACGACUGUUCAGGGCAUAUUUCUUUCUCCUUUCUUUUAUUUUCGCAUUGAGGGCAAUGCAUGAUUUAAGUUUGGGGGGAGUUUAGCUAAUUUUGAUUUGGUCUUUUGCAUGCAUAUCAUAUAAUUUAGUUUUAUUUAUGUAUUUCGAUUUCCGUAAUUGUGUUAUGUUUGUCACAUGCAUUUCAUAUAGGAUCGAGUGUAAGUUGCAUUUCCGGAUUCUAUUGAAGCAAAGCAAUUAAUAAAUUAGUAGAUGGGCUAGUUGAUUUUAAAAUUGAAAUUAUGGAUAACCGGCUAAUUAUAGAUGUACCUUCCGACUGCGUUUUUGCAACUUGUGUGGAUAGCCUUUCGAAUCCUUUCCGAUUAAGCUUGAGCGCACUUUUCUGAGGGGUAUAAUAGUCUAAGGUUUGGGGGGCGAGUUAGAACUGAAUUAUGUGUUCACGAUUUCCAGUUGUUGGCUAAAAGUUCUAUCAAUGGUCUUUACGUUUUUAUUUUAUGUUCGAUGUUUAAAAAAAAAAAAAAAAAAAAAAAAAAAAAAAAAGAGAGAAAAAUAAUAAUUUGUGGUAUUGUUGUGAUUCACGCUCUGAUUUCCCCGCCUUUCUGACUCGAGCUUAACCCGUUGGGUGCACCUCGUCGCCUAAGUCUUUCGAGUUGUCAAGCUUGGGGGUUUCUUGGACUAAAGUUCGAUACAUGGGUCAGGGAGAUAACACAGUGGUGUCGAGCCUUGCACGAGUCAUGAUUGUGCCAAUUUCAAAAAAAAAAAAAAAAAAAAAAUUGUGAUGAAAAUCACCAAAAAUAUUGUUGUUGUCAUUUCUUCUAUUGAAUAAAUAGACCUACUUAUGCCCAACUCGAGUUUUUGAAUUUCAGAAUCAAAACUUACUUUUCACCCACAUUUCUACUCAAAACCCUCGAUGAUUGUGUUUAUUGUUUAAUUACGGAUUCUUGAGUCUAUCUUUCAUUUUGGUGUAGAAACAACUAAUUGCGUCGGUAGGAAAGUCGAAUACUUUAAGACGUAUGCCAUUCUAAGAUUUUAGGUUAUCUAGCUCGUUUCAUCUUUGGAAUUAAUUGCAAUGCUUUGACCAAUCCGGCAACUUUGUGGGUGUGUUGUCUGAAAACCCUCACGAGACACAACUCGUCCUUUGGGGGUACCCAGGGGUUCAAAGGCUUGUUGCAUAUGCUAAAUGCAAUCGUGUUUCCCUACGUUAGUGGCCUAGGUUUAGUUUUUUUGCUUUCGUCGUUUUUGUUUUUGGGUUGUUGUUGUUUUGUUUUGAUUUACUCGGGACGAGUAAAGAUCUAAGUUUGAGGGUGUGAUAAGUGUUCGUUUUGCACAACUUUUACUUAUCUAAUCUUCGUGUUUUGGUCUUCAUUCGUCCGAGUUUUCGGCUUUAUUUGUAUAUAUUAUGUUGUUUUUGUUUUAUUUAUAUUUUUAGGUAAAGAUAAGCUAUUUUUGCCGAUUCGAGACGAUUUUGGAAGCGAAGCCGAGAAUCAAACCAAACACGUGCAAAAGUGCAUUCUCGCGGAUUGUGGCAGUGUUUGGUAUUGCAAGCAUAACUUUUGCAUACAACCUCCGAUUGGGAUGAUUCAAGUGGAUUUAGAAAGCUAACUUCAAGGGCUACAACUUUUGUGAAAUGCACAAUUGUCGAAUUCGGGCUGAAAAUGGGU